rnacentral:rRNA from 1 species
UCCCAAGGCUAAAUACUCCCUAGUGACCGAUAGUGAACCAGUACCGUGAGGGAAAGGUGAAAAGCACCCCGGGAGGGGAGUGAAAGAGAACCUGAAACCGUGUGCCUACAAGUAGUCAGAGUCCGAUGCACGGCAACGUGCCGGAUGAUGGCGUGCCUUUUGUAGAAUGAACCGGCGAGUUGCGAUGGCGUGCGAGGUUAAGGGGAAGACCCGGAGCCGCAGCGAAAGCGAGUCUGAAGAGGGCGCAGAGUACGUCGUCGCAGACCCGAAACCAGGUGAUCUACCCGUGUCCAGGGUGAAGGCAGGGUAACACCUGCUGGAGGCCCGAACCCACGUACGUUGAAAAGUGCGGGGAUGAGGUGCGGGUAGGGGUGAAAUGCCAAUCGAACCUGGAGAUAGCUGGUUCUCUCCGAAAUAGCUUUAGGGCUAGCCUCAAGCGGGAGAGUCUUGGAGGUAGAGCACUGUUUGGAUGAGGGGCCCGCCAAGGGUUACCGAGUUCAGAUAAACUCCGAAUGCCAAGACUUGCGCUUGGGAGUCAGACUGCGAGUGAUAAGAUCCGCAGUCGAGAGGGGAACAGCCCAGACCGCCAGUUAAGGUCCCAAAGUAUACGUUAAGUGGGAAAGGAUGUGGAGCUGCCGAGACAACCAGGAUGUUGGCUUAGAAGCAGCCAUCAUUCAAAGAGUGCGUAAUAGCUCACUGGUCGAGUGGCUCUGCGCCGAAAAUGUACCGGGGCUGAAACGUAUCACCGAAACUGCGGAUGGGCACGGAAGUGUCCAUGGUAGGAGAGCGUUCUAAACGCGGGGAAGCAAGACCGGGAGGACUUGUGGAGCGUUUAGAAGUGAGAAUGCCGGUAUGAGUAGCGAAAGAAGGGUGAGAAUCCCUUCCACCGAAAGCCUAAGGUUUCCUGAGGAAGGCUCGUCCGCUCAGGGUUAGUCGGGGCCUAAGCCGAGGCCGAAAGGCGUAGGCGAAGGGGAACAGGUGGAUAUUCCUGUACCACCCAGGAUCCGGUAUGAGCGAAGGGGGGACGCAGGAGGAUAGGGCAAGCGCGCGGCUGGAAGAGCGCGUCCAAGCAGCGAGGGUGGCGGAUAGGCAAAUCCGUCCGCCUUAAAACCUGAGCUGUGAUGGGGAGGGAAUGGAAGUACCGAAGUGCCCGAUUUCACACUGCCGAGAAAAGCCUCUAGCCAGGAUCCGGGUGCCCGUACCGGAAACCGACACAGGUAGGCGAGGAGAGAAUCCUAAGGUGAGCGAGAGAACCCUCGUUAAGGAACUCGGCAAAAUGACCCCGUAACUUCGGGAGAAGGGGUGCUCUUUCGGGUGAAGAGCCUGAAGGAGCCGCAGAGGAUAGGCCCAGGCGACUGUUUAACAAAAACACAGGUCUCUGCGAAGCCGAAAGGCGAAGUAUAGGGGCUGACGCCUGCCCGGUGCUGGAAGGUUAAGGGGAGGGCUUAGCGGCGACGCGAAGGUCCGAACCGAAGCCCCAGUAAACGGCGGCCGUAACUAUAACGGUCCUAAGGUAGCGAAAUUCCUUGUCGGGUAAGUUCCGACCCGCACGAAAGGCGUAACGAUCUGGGCGCUGUCUCAACGAGGGACUCGGUGAAAUUAUAGUACCUGUGAAGAUGCAGGUUACCCGCGACAGGACGGAAAGACCCCGUGGAGCUUUACUGCAGCCUGAUAUGGGACUUUGGUAUCGCUUGUACAGGAUAGGCAGGAGCCUGGGAAGCGUGGGCGCCAGCCUACGUGGAGGCGCAAGUGGGAUACUGCCCUGGCGGUAUUGAAGUUCUAACCCGCGCCCCUGAUCGGGGUGGGGGACAGUGUCAGGCGGGCAGUUUGACUGGGGCGGUCGCCUCCUAAAGGGUAACGGAGGCGCCCAAAGGUUCCCUCAGCGCGGUUGGAAAUCGCGCGGAGAGUGCAAAGGCAGAAGGGAGCUUGACUGCGAGACCGACAAGUCGAGCAGGGACGAAAGUCGGGCUUAGUGAUCCGGUGGUACCGGAUGGAAGGGCCAUCGCUCAACGGAUAAAAGCUACCCCGGGGAUAACAGGCUGAUCUCCCCCAAGAGUCCACAUCGACGGGGAGGUUUGGCACCUCGAUGUCGGCUC